rnacentral:misc_RNA from 1 species
AGAUAGCAGGGUUCGUACAAGUUCGGGAAUGUUUUUGAGGAGGGGGCGAGAUAAAAUUAUCAGAAAUAUUGAGAAGAGAAUAGCAGAUUAUACAUUCAUUCCUGCAGAACAUGGAGAAGGUCUACAAGUCUUACAUUAUGAAGUUGGACAGAAGUAUGAGCCUCAUUAUGACUACUUCCUUGAUGACUUCAACACCAAAAAUGGGGGCCAACGUAUAGCUACUCUUCUCAUGUAUCUAUCAGAUGUUGAAGAAGGAGGUGAGACUGUUUUUCCAGCAGCAAAGGGAAACUUCAGUUCUAGUCCUGGGUGGAAUGAGUUGUCAGAAUGUGCCAAAGGGGGCCUCUCUGUCAAACCAAAGAUGGGCGAUGCUUUGCUUUUCUGGAGCAUGCGGCCUGAUGCUACUUUGGAUCCGUCAAGUCUGCAUGGUGGUUGCCCUGUGAUUAAAGGGAACAAAUGGUCAUCUACCAAGUGGAUGCAUGUUGGUGAAUACAAGAGCUAAUUUUCUUUCAAAAAGAUAUUUAGGACGAGUUACAAGUCGUAAUAGAUCCCAACCUUAUUGUAGUUGUGGAGAAUGGUGCUUGCUUGGGUUGUUUAGACUUCUGGGGCAGAUGUGAUGCUUAUUUGCCAGACUUCCAUUAACAUAUACGCAGGUCAUUUGCUUGCCGGUUUUGAAGAACUAAUGAAUAUUUGUGGUUUCUGAAUAUACCGUUGUGGUAGUUUAGUUAGGUCAGAAUAGUUAGCGGCCAAAUGUAUUAGAAAUCAGAGUUUGAAUUAUGUUUUCUAUUGCAUGGUGCUUGGUUUAAUAGACUGAUGAACUGUGAUGUUGUUUCUUCUUGGAUAUAAUUGUAACCUCG